rnacentral:rRNA from 1 species
GACGUAGGGGGCAAGCGUUGUCCGGCUUUAUUGGGCGUAAAGAGCUCGUAGGCGGCUCAGAAAGUCGGGUGUGAAACCUCCAGGCUCAACCUGGAGACGCCACCUGAUACUGCUGUGGCUAGAGUCCGGUAGGGGAGCACGGAAUUCCCGGUGUAGCGGUGAAAUGCUUAGAUAUCGGGAGGAACACCAGUGGCGAAGGCGGUGCUCUGGGCCGGAACUGACGCUGAGGAGCGAAAGCGUGGGGAGCGAACAGG